GUAGGGAAUAUUGGACAAUGGGGGCAACCCUGAUCCAGCAAUGCCGCGUGAGUGAUGAAGGCCUUAGGGUUGUAAAGCUCUUUUACCCGGGAUGAUAAUGACAGUACCGGGAGAAUAAGCCCCGGCUAACUCCGUGCCAGCAGCCGCGGUAAUACGGAGGGGGCUAGCGUUGUUCGGAAUUACUGGGCGUAAAGCGCACGUAGGCGGCGAUUUAAGUCAGAGGUGAAAGCCCGGGGCUCAACCCCGGAACUGCCUUUGAGACUGGAUUGCUAGAAUCUUGGAGAGGCGGGUGGAAUUCCGAGUGUAGAGGUGAAAUUCGUAGAUAUUCGGAAGAACACCAGUGGCGAAGGCGGCCCGCUGGACAAGUAUUGACGCUGAGGUGCGAAAGCGUGGGGAGCAAACAGGAUUAGAUACCCGUGUAGUCC
rnacentral:rRNA from 1 species